GGGCACUUAAAAGUUAACAUCAGAAUGUUAAAAUAGGAAAAAGUAUGCAAAGCCUCAGAUUGCACUUAUGUGUUCAUGAGGACUUUCUAAACAUCCUGUAGAAGUUGGCUUAAAGGCAGGAAAUGCUGAUAAAUUUCCCAGGAAAUGCUGAUAAAUUUUGGUAUCAAAUGAGCAUUUGCUUUUCCUUUGGAAAGAUCUUCUUUUGUAUCUAAUUUCACCAUAAUUCAAGAAUAUCGAUCACAGUGGGGGCUGCUGCUCAGGUCUACACCUUUUUUUUAUGGCUAUAGGACUGUGUUAUGCAGGUCACUGCUGCCUUGGCAAUGAAGCAGGCACAGCAGUGCCCAGAAAUGCACAGAUGAUGUUAUAAAAGGUGUCUGCUACAGACUACCUGAUAAAGAAGAAGAGAUGGAUGAAGUUUUCUUAAGGCACUUGGAAGAAUCCUUACUGUCAUGGGCACAGAUAUUCAAGACUGCAUUUGGCCACUUCAGUAUUUACUGAGAGGGCAUUAUGGCUGUGCAUAACAACUGCAAGAGGCUUCUUCAAUGGGUCAAAGGCAAUUUUGGGAUGGAGGCUGUUAAUGAACCAACAUAGGGAGGUGCUCUUUUAGACCUGCUGCUCAAACACAGGGAAGAACUGGUGAAGGCUGGAGACAAACUUGUUGGCAGGAUUUAGAGGACUGUGGAACUUAAGAUUCUUAUGGAAGUGGUCAAGAAAACAACUCUUGGAGACCAACGUAUAAUAUCACAAACACACAAGGGGCCGAUGGAGUUGCAGAUGAAGAAAUUACAGCAGGUAUUUUUUCCAGAGAACCAUACCACUGUUUCAGUUGUUAGUGAUUUAAAAGUAAAAGGUUGUGUUUUAUGUGACAGUUAGAACUCUGAUGCAAAUCAAUGAGCGGAUACACAGUGUAGAAAGUAACAACUACACAUACUGUUAAUUACAUUUAUAUCUACUAGAGGAUGCAAAUCAAAUGAUAGCCAUGGGUGUCUGACUGACUCCCUUACUUCAAAUUCUGUGCAGUCACAAAGAAGAGCGGAAAAUUGGCCAUUUUCUUCUUUCUUUCUGUUCUUCAUCUUCCCAUAUUUCCUGUUCUUCCAUUUUAGAUGUACUUGAAUACUAAAUGAGGUUUCAGUACACAAGUAGUACUUGCAGACACAACAGAUCUUGGAAACAGUAGCAAAGUAAACAAAAUAAGUGACCUAAGAAUCCAG
ensembl:lncRNA